UAGCCGACAGGAUCCCGCCCGGCCACCGCCUGGGAGCCGCCUGCGACACGUGCUCCCACUCUGUCCGGGUUCUGGUAACUGCGGGCUCGGUCUCGUGUGCGGGCCUCAGUGGGCCAUGGCGGUGGCUGCGGCGGAAACGCGCGUGUUCCUGGAAGUGCGGAGACGGCUGCAGAGCGCGCUGCUAAUCCUGGGUGAGCCAGACGAAGGAGGGAUGCGCCUGGACGUUUCUAUAACUCCCACCUCACUCUUGAUGCGGACACCUGAUGGCUGCACCGAGACCCAGCUUCCAGCAGAGGUCAGGCUUGUGCCUUCCUCGUGCCGAGGCUUGCAGUACAUCCGAGGAGAUGGGUUGCAUCUGCGUCUGCAGGCCCACACUGAAUCAGGCCCACAACCGAUUUCAGUGUUUAACCAAAGCUUGCAAGCUCAAGGACGCUGCACAUUUUAUUGCCAGUCCUGCGGUGACGUCACGAUAAAGGACAGGAAGCUCCUCAGGGUGCUCCCACUGCCGAGUGAGAACUGGGGAGCUCUCGUUGGAGAGUGGUGCUGUCAUCCUGACCCCUUUGCUAAUAAGCCUCUACAUCCACGAGAAAAUGACUGUUUUAUUGGGGACACUUUCUUCUUAGUGAAUUUGAGAAGUGAUUUGGAGCAGGAACCAAAAGCAAAUACCAAAGUCAUUUGUAAGCGUUGCAAGGUAGUGUUGGGAGAGACUGUAUCAUCAGAAACAACUAAAUUUUACAUGACAGAGAUAAUUAUUCAGCCAUCUGAGGGAAGUUUUCCUAACAUACCAAGGUCUCAGUUUGUUCAGAGUAUCAUUGCCCAGUGCCUGGUGGAACUCUCCUCUGCGAGAAGCACUUUUAGAUUCACAAUUCAAGGUCAGGAUGGCAAAGUGUACAUCUUGCUCUGGAUUUUAAACUCAGACAGUUUGGUGAUUGAACCACUUCGAAAUUCCAGUUGUGUCAAAAAGUUCCCGCUGUUGGAAAAUACAUCGGAAGCUGACUCCAGCUCUGCUUGGAACGCAGUCAAAGUCCUCUACCAGCCCUGCAUCAAAAACAGGAAUGAAGAGCUUGCUCGCUCAUGGGAAAGUGACAUCAGUGUCCACCCUUUGACUCUGCCCUCUGCGACCUGCCUGGAGCUGCUGCUGAUACUGUCGAGGAGCAAUGCAUCACUGCCUCUGUCCCUUUGCCAGAUGAAUUCCUUUCAGUUUGCAUUCUCUACUUCCAAUCUGCUGAGGUGUGAACAGCUUGCUACUACACCCUUCUGCUGACAUGAGCCCAACCAUGCCUUCUCUACUGUGAUGGACUGAGCCUUCUCACGGUGAGCCAAGGUGGCCUUUUUGAAGAUAUAGCUGUUGAAGUCUGUAACAUGAAAAAAAAAAAAAAAAAAAAAAGACCCAGUGAUUGAUAUUGGGGUUCAAGCUUCAAGCUGAAGAUCAGAAAAACAAAUAUGUAUCACGACAGAAGCCGAGGCUUUCUGGUCUACCAGUACAGAGCACAGCCAAGGCCAGGAGUCAGCUCUGUGAACAUAGCCUGCAGAGUUGAACAAGAACUAGAGCUGCAGAAUGAGGUUCUUGUGCUAAAGUUUCCUGUUUACUUGUCUUCAUUUAUUCUCCAAGCAUUGACUUUAGAUCCAUGCAAAUCCAAGGCUAUAAGGAAAGUUGUAGUAGCAGGUUUUCGGCGGGUUAAGUAUAGAAGUUGCACCUCUACUUCCCACAGAGAGGAAUAUUCAAAUCUGUGCUGUGUCAGCACCACCUGGAAGCAUAUUAGCUAAUGGAAACCCAUCUGUCCUGUGUGAACACAGCGAGGAACUUCACUGGGGAGCUGAAUGUUAACGGCUGUAAAUCCCAGGAAAUAAACUUUUUAAGAGCUCCCGGUUUGUUUAAAAUACAUUUUUAAAAACUGAAAUGUAGAAGUUUUCAUAUCUUAUUCAAAGAAGGUGCUUGUUGGUGUUUGUUGAAUGAGUGAUUAUCCAAUUAAAGUUUUCCUGAGGGUGUAAAACCA